rnacentral:rRNA from 1 species
UGUUGUUUUUCCGAAAAUCAAUUACGAAUGGCUUGAUUUUGUGUUGUAUUGACCUUAUCAGCUUUCUUCACUUUUUUCGAGUCUUUCUUAAUGCACUUUUCGGUUAACAAGUCAACAUCAAUUUCUUUUGUUGUAAAAGAGUAUUCGGAAGGUGGCUUUCUUUUCGGAGAAAGUGUUUAUAGCCCUAUACUUCUACAAUCGGAGAGAUUGAGGUCUGCAGCGUAGAUCCUUCGGGGUUAGAUACAUUUGUGCUAAGUUGUAGCUUUUCAUAGACAACUUGUUGACUAUGUUUAGUCGUGCGGCUUACUCGCUUAUGCUAUUUUACCUAC